rnacentral:rRNA from 1 species
UAGGGAAUCUUCCACAAUGGGCGAAAGCCUGAUGGAGCAACGCCGCGUGUGUGAUGAAGGCUUUCGGGUCGUAAAGCACUGUUGUAUGGGAAGAACAUCUAGAAUAGGAAAUGAUUUUAGUUUGACGGUACCAUACCAGAAAGGGACGGCUAAAUACGUACCAG